CAUUCGUCCAUGGUCUGUCCAGGCCAAUCGGCUUCUCCUUCUUCUUCACCUGUUUCUAGGUUAUACUUUCUACAUAGAGGAGUUGCUUGUUCCAUUAACCUAUUGGAGCAUAUACUCUUUCUCUUUCGGGGAAAACCAUUAAUCCUUUCUUCUCUGGGAUUGAGUUCAGUGCAGCAUGGGCUGCAUGGGAUUGGGUGGGCUGUUUGGAAUGUCUGCUUUGCUUCAGACAUUGAAGGGAAUCCUGAUGGGUUAAUUAGUUCUUGCAUGGAAAUGAUAUAGAAGGAUCUAUCCUUUUUAACUUAUUCAUCAUGGGUCUUGCAUGUGGGAAUGAGGUUUAGUAGUGCAGCCAAGGAUGACUUGCCGGCAAGCUUUCAUAUCCACUGCAUCCAUCUGUCAAGGGUAGCAUAUAUGGAAGGUACUCGGCAAGUUGUCAUUGGCUAUGUUGCUUCCUCCUUCUCUCAUGCUUGAUCUGUGAUGAUGAUGACAAAGAGGAAGAUGACCAAACAGUACUGGUUGGUGGUAUGGAUUGGAUGACUAUGGAGAGUUUUUGAACUUUGCUGAUAUUCUCAAUGGUAAUCAAGUCCCUGAAGAGCUUCUUGAUCUUCUCCUUGAUGAUCUGAUUUUCUAUGAUUUCUCAAGUUUCUAAAAAUAAUUUGGAACCCCUCCCUGGUCAGGAAUCAUGGUUCAGAAGAUGGGUUGUGUGUGUGUGAAGCUAAGCUAGAAUUUAAGAUCACUUCUUGAUGAUAAGACUAAGAAACAGAACAAGUUUUUCUUAGGCUAGAAACCAGAAACCAGCAGCAAUUAUUUCUAUUAAUUGAAUAUCAGGAGAAGAACUGUUUUAACAGUGUUUAUGAUAAAGUUUGCUGUAAGAAACCAACAAAUUUUUGUAUACAAUUUCCUUUUCAAAAGAAAAACUCUGUUCUGAAAAGAACCCCUCUCCACUAUAUAUACGUUUUAAUGGUACCCAUUUAAUUAAUUGAAUGGGACAUUGUAUUAAAAUCUUUUAUUGAGGUAAGUAAGAUCUUUCUCUUGAUGACAUAUUCAACUGUCCAAGAUUCUUGAACCAGAAAUUGACUUGCCCAUAGUUACUAUGUCAUUUAAGGGCCUGGAAAUCCAGGUUCAAUUCUUUACAGUUGAUCAAUAGCAUUCCUUUUUGUCCAUGGAUAAAUUGUUUCAAGAAGGGUGAGCAAGCCAGUGACGAUCGCAACAUGUUGGUCAUAGGUUUAAAACUUGAAAACAGCCUCUUCCACGAAGUAGGACUGUGUACAUUUGUCCUUACAUGACCCAACAUUAGCGGGAGCCUCACACACCUCGGCAUUCAUUAGAUAAAGGGAUUGUGGAUAGAGUAGGACAAAACUAUAGCAGAUGGCUAAAUAGAAUAUUAAUGAAAUUGCUUUCCAGUAUCCAAAAAUUUUCAAAGUAUGAUGCCACACACAUUUAAGACUUGAUGAGAAAUGAUAGAAUGUGAAGAACAGUACUGUAAAUUGUGUCUCCAGGCUUAAGGGCAGGAGGUAUUACUAUAAUUUUUUGGGAAGCAGGACCAUGUAAUUCUCCUUUAUCCUUUUGUAUCAAAGCCCAACCAAAACUGAGUAUUUUCAAGUUGUACCAGUUGUAAUAUAUCAUAUAUUAAGGAGAAAGCUUUCCUUCACCCAACUGUGAUCUUGCUUUAUUACUCCUCCCCUUUUGACAAAGGUUCAAAAUGCCUUUCCACUAUUUCAGGAUUUCGAUUCGAUGGUCAAAAGUGGUGGAUGAAAAGAUUCUCUUUGCCGUGGAGGAAAAUUCAGUCAUAUGUUUUUUUUUUAAUUCCCCAUAAAAUGCUGUAAGCAUAAUAUGUUCAUGUUCACCAGAGCAGAUCACCAAGUCAGUCUCUCUGCUAUUGGAGUCUGGAUUAUUGUAGUUGUUGGUAAUUAAAAGAUACACAUUGUCCUGCAAUUGAUCAUGCAAGUUUUUAAUAUGACAUGGGGAGAAAUGGACAGCAUAGUACUGGUCAAUCACUCUAUUCUAUAUUCUCAUCAAACAAAUGUAUCUUGGGUUGAAGAACUCAAAAAGGAAAUUCAAAGUCCCCAA